CGACCGGCGCACGGGUGAGUAACGCGUAUCCAACCUGCCUUUACUAUGGGACAGCCCGUCGAAAGGCGGAUUAAUACCGUAUGUUGUCAUGUUGAUGCAUAUUUUCAUGACCAAAGGCUUCGGCCGGUAAAGGAUGGGGAUGCGUCUGAUUAGCUUGCCGGCGGGGUAACGGCCCACCGGGGCGACGAUCAGUAGGGGUUCUGAGAGGAAGGUCCCCCACAUUGGAACUGAGACACGGUCCAAACUCCUACGGGAGGCAGCAG
rnacentral:rRNA from 1 species